AGUGAACGCUGGCGGUAUGCCUAACACAUGCAAGUCGAACGGCAGCACAGUAAGAGCUUGCUCUUACGGGUGGCGAGUGGCGGACGGGUGCGGAAUACAUCGGAAUCUACUUUUUCGUGGGGGAUAACGUAGGGAAACUUACGCUAAUACCGCAUACGACCUACGUGUGAAAGCAGGGGAUCUUCGGACCUUGCGCGAUUGAAUGAGCCGAUGUUGGUUUAGCUCGUUGGCGGGGUAAAGGCCCACCAAGGCGCCGAUCCGUAGCUGGUCUGAGAGGAUGAUCAGCCACACUGGAACUGAGACACGGUCCAGACUCCUACGGGAGGCAGCAGUGGGGAAUAUUGGACAAUGGGCGCAAGCCUGAUCCAGCCAUACCGCGUGGGUGAAGAAGGCCUUCGGGUUGUAAAGCCCUUUUGUUGGGAAAGAAAAGCAGCAGGUUAAUACCCCGCUGUUCUGACGGUACCCAAAGAAUAAGCACCGGCUAACUUCGUG
rnacentral:rRNA from 1 species